UGGGUAAGGGAUUCAUUCGUC
rnacentral:siRNA from 1 species